rnacentral:rRNA from 1 species
GUGCCAGCCGCCGCGGUAAGACGAACCGUGCGAACGUUGUUCGGAAUCACUGGGCAUAAAGGGCGCGUAGGCGGCUCCUCAAGUCAGGGGUGAAAUCCGGCAGCUUAACUGUCGAAGUGCCUUUGAUACUGGGGAGCUCGAGGGAGGUAGGGGUGUGUGGAACUUCCGGUGGAGCGGUGAAAUGCGUUGAUAUCGGAAGGAACGCCGGUGGCGAAAGCGACGCACUGGACCUCUUCUGACGCUGAGGCGCGAAAGCCAGGGGAGCAAACGGGAUUAGAAACCCUCGUAGUCC